GUAAUAUAUCGGAACGUGCCCAGUCGUGGGGGAUAACGUAGCGAAAGCUACGCUAAUACCGCAUACGAUCUAUGGAUGAAAGCGGGGGAUCGCAAGACCUCGCGCGAUUGGAGCGGCCGAUAUCAGAUUAGGUAGUUGGUGAGGUAAAGGCUCACCAAGCCGACGAUCUGUAGCUGGUCUGAGAGGACGACCAGCCACACUGGGACUGAGACACGGCCCAGACUCCUACGGGAGGCAGCAGUGGGGAAUUUUGGACAAUGGGCGCAAGCCUGAUCCAGCAAUGCCGCGUGCAGGAUGAAGGCCUUCGGGUUGUAAACUGCUUUGUACGGAACGAAACGGUGAGCUCUAAUACAGUUUGCUAAUGACGGUACCGUAAGAAUAAGCACCGGCUAACUACGUG
rnacentral:rRNA from 1 species